CAGAGUUGUCGACACGAGUUGUUGCUGGCCCUCAAACGGGGGCAUGUGCACGCUCUGUUCACACAUCCACUCACACCUGUGCACCCUCUGUAGUUCUAUGGUCUGGGGGACGCACGCCGUCUUCCUCCCGUGGUUCUAUGUCUCUACACAUACGCCGUAGCGAAGUCUCAUGGAAUGUACCCUGCGUUUAACGCAAUAUAAUA
rnacentral:misc_RNA from 1 species